rnacentral:rRNA from 1 species
AUUGAACGCUGACGGCAUGCCUUACACAUGCAAGUCGAACGGUAACAGGUCUUCGGAUGCUGACGAGUGGCGAACGGGUGAGUAAUACAUCGGAACGUGCCCGAUCGUGGGGGAUAACGGAGCGAAAGCUUGCUAAUACCGCAUACGAUCUACGGAUGAAAGCAGGGGACCGCAAGGCCUUGCGCGGACGGAGCGGCCGAUGGCAGAUUAGGUAGUUGGUGGGAUAAAAGCUUACCAAGCCGACGAUCUGUAGCUGGUCUGAGAGGACGACCGGCCACAGUGGGACUGAGACACGGCCCAGACUCCACGGGAGGCAGCAGUGGGGAAUUUUGGACAAUGGGCGAAAGCCUGAUCCAGCCAUGCCGCGUGCAGGAUGAAGGCCUUCGGGUUGUAAACUGCUUUUGUACGGAACGAAAAAGUUCUUUCUAAUAAAGAGAGCUCAUGACGGUACCGUAAGAAUAAGCACCGGCUAACUACGUGCCAGCCGCCGCGGUAAUAC